CCAGGCAGAGCCUGAUGGAUGAAGAGGAGGAGGAAGAGGAGGAGAUCCCAAAGUGCUCCAAAAGAUGCCUGAAGAAGGCCUGGAACUUUUUUGACACCUCCAGCUCCGACUUCAAGACUAUCUGAAGCCAGAAUUCCAAAUUUCCCUUGGAGUUUUUUCCCAUUUUUUGAAGUUUCCAGCCCAAAAUUUCUCAUUUUUUUCCCAGUUCAAAUUCCAAAACCGUGCUUUUUGGGCCAUUUUGGGGGGAAUUUUUGGGAUUUAUGCCAAAUAUUUUGUGUUUCCCACUCCUUUAUCUCCUUCCAGAUUUUCUGGGAAUGGAAAUCCCAAAUUUCCUCCAAGUUUUUCCCAUUUUUUGCCCUUUUCAUCCCAAAAUCCAGUUACAAAUUGAGCAUUUUCAAACAUUGUUUUGGGAAUUGUUGGGAUUUAUACCAAAUAUUUUGUGUUUCCCACCCUUUAUCUCCUUCCAAACUUUCUGGCAAUGGAAUCCCAAAAUUCCUCCCCAGAUUUUUCCCAUUUUUUGCCAUUUUCACCCCAAAUUCCCCCAAUA